rnacentral:misc_RNA from 1 species
AACGCACGAGACCUGCGGACCUGCGGAAGGAUCAUUAUAGAGGACUAAAACUCCCUAAACCCAUGUGAACUUACCACUGUUGCUUCGGCGGGAUCGCCCCGGGCGCCGUCUGCGUGCCCCGGAGCAAGGCGCCCGCCGGAGGACCCCAAACUCUGUUUUACGUUGGCACGUCUGAGUGGAAUCAUACAAAUGAAUCAAAACUUUUAACAACGGAUCUCU